UACAGAGGUCUCAAGCGUUGUUCGGAUUCAUUGGGCGUAAAGGUGCGUAGGCGGCGCGGUAAGUCGGGUGUGAAAUCUCGGAGCUUAACUCCGAAACUGCAUUCGAUACUGCCGUGCUUGAGGACUGGAGAGGAGACUGGAAUUUACGGUGUAGCGGUGAAAUGCGUAGAUAUCGUAAGGAAGACCAGUGGCGAAGGCGGUCUCUGGACAGUUCCUGACGCUGAGGCACGAAGGCCAGGGAGCAAACGG
rnacentral:rRNA from 1 species